UACGUAGGGGGCGAGCGUUGUCCGGAUUUAUUGGGCGUAAAGAGCUCGUAGGCGGUUCGAUAAGUCGGACGUGAAAUCUCCACGCUCAACGUGGAGGGGCCGUUCGAUACUGUCGUGACUCGAGUCCGGUAGGGGAGUGUGGAAUUCCCGGUGUAGCGGUGAAAUGUGUAGAGAUCGGGAGGAACACCAGUGGCGAAGGCGACUACCUGGCCUGUUCUUGACGCUGAGGCGCGAAAGCUAGGGGAGCAAACGGG
rnacentral:rRNA from 1 species